rnacentral:rRNA from 1 species
ACCCUUUGUGAACAUACCUAUUCUCGUUGCCUCGGCGGUGCCGGGCCUGGCCCCCCCGUAUCUCACGAUAGGGGGAGCAGCCCGCCGGCGGCCUUCUAAACUCUUGUUUCUAAGUGUAUCUUCUGAGUAUAAGCUUCUAAAUAAGUAAAAACUUUCAGCAACGGAUCUCUUGGUUCUGGCAUCGAUGAAGAACGCAGCGAAAUGCGAUAAGUAAUGUGAAUUGCAGAAUUCAGUGAAUCAUCGAAUCUUUGAACGCACAUUGCGCCCGGUAGUAUUCUACCGGGCAUGCCUGUUCGAGCGUCAUUUCAACCCUCAAGCACUGCUUGGUGUUGGGGCGCCACCUCACGGUGGGCCCCCAAAUUGAUAGGCGAGCUCGCCAGGACCCCGAGCGUAGUAGUAUUCUCCUCGCUUUGGGCGUGCUGGCGGCGCGCAGCCUCUAAGCCUUCUGGCUGCCCUCACCGGCGCCGGAAAACUCACACAAGGUUGACCUCGGAUCAGGUAGGAAUACGCGCUGAACUUAAGCAUAU